rnacentral:misc_RNA from 1 species
AAGUCGUAACAAGGUUUCCGUAGGUGAACCUGCGGAAGGAUCAUUAACACAUUUUCUUUCAAACUAUAAACAUUGGACACUUACUGAGCCAUCAGCGGGAGUGCCGGCAGACUAUGGUCGGAUUGCCUUCGUGGCGAUGGUCUGCCGGAUAGCAAGAUCCAUAAGAGCUCCAUGCUGGUCGUGGCGCAAUGAAGAUGAGGUUCGAGCUCUACGUUGGUGGUAUUACAGUCGCUGACCUGGCUGGCUUUUUUUAUUAAAUUGAAAUACGUCUGAUGUGGCUUCCGAUCGAGAGGGCUUUCUUUUUUCAUUAAAAGAGAGUCUUUUCUUUGAGGCCAAAAGCGAUGGAGGAAUCCAUUGUUUUUCAAAUGAAACACAACUCUUAACAGCGGAUAUCUCGGUUCUC